AGGUGCUGCAUGGCUGUCGUCAGCUCGUGUCGUGAGAUGUUCGUUAAGUCCGCUAACGAGCGCAACCCUCGCUGUGUGUUAUAUGUGUCACACGGGACUGCCGGUCUUAAGCCGGAGGAAGUGGGGAUGAUGUCAAGUCAGCAUGGCCUUUAUAUCCUGGGCUACACACACGCUACAAUGGCCAACACAAUAGGUUGCUAAGCCGCGAGGUGGCGCCAAUCCAUAAAGUUGGUCUCAGUUCAGAUUGUAGGCUGCAACCCGCCUGCAUGAAGAUGGAGUUGCUAGUAACCGCAGGUCAGCUAUACUGCGGUGAAUACGUUCCCGGGGCUU
rnacentral:rRNA from 1 species